rnacentral:misc_RNA from 1 species
GAUGAAGAACGUAGCGAAAUGCGAUAAGUAAUGUGAAUUGCAGAAUUCAGUGAAUCAUCGAAUCUUUGAACGCACAUUGCACUCAUUAGUAUUCUAGUGAGUAUGCCUGUUCGAGCGUCAUUUCAACCCUUAAGCCUAGCUUAGUGUUGGGACUCUACCCUAACCGGUAGUUCCCCAAAAUCAGUUGGCGGAGUUCAGUCGGCUCUGAGUGUAGUAAUUUUCUCUCGCUUUAGAAGUCUUCUGGAUUACGGCCAGAAAGAGACGAGUCUCGCAUCUCGGUGCGUUUCUCAACUUUUUUUUACAAUGGUUGACCUCGGAUCAGGUAGGAAUACCCGCUGAACUUAAGCAUACCAAUAAGCGGAGGA